rnacentral:rRNA from 1 species
GACGAACGCUGGCGGCGUGCUUAACACAUGCAAGUCGAACGGAAAGGCCCUGCUUUUGUGGGGUGCUCGAGUGGCGAACGGGUGAGUAACACGUGAGUAACCUGCCCUUGACUUUGGGAUAACUUCAGGAAACUGGGGCUAAUACCGGAUAGGAGCUCCUGCUGCAUGGUGGGGGUUGGAAAGUUUCGGCGGUUGGGGAUGGACUCGCGGCUUAUCAGCUUGUUGGUGGGGUAGUGGCUUACCAAGGCUUUGACGGGUAGCCGGCCUGAGAGGGUGACCAGGCACAAUGGGACUGAGAUACGGACCAGACUCCUACGGGAGGCAGCAGUGGGGAAUAUUGCACAGUGGGCGGAAGCCUGAUGCGGCGACGCCGCGUGCGGGAUGACGGCCUUCGGGUUGUAAACCGCUUUCGCCUGUGACGAAGCGUGAGUGACGGUAAUGGGUAAAGAAGCACCGGCUAACUACGUG